AAUCAAAACUUUCAACAACGGAUCUCUUGGUUCUGGCAUCGAUGAAAACGCAGCGAAUGGGUAAGAAUAUGAGUUUGCAAAUCGGGAUCACGAUCUUUGACUUGAGGCCUUGGGCCCCCCAGUUUCGGGGGGAUCCGCUGUCCACAAAGCUC
rnacentral:rRNA from 1 species